GUCCAGACUCCUACGGGAGGCAGCAGUGGGGAAUAUUGCACAAUGGGGGAAACCCUGAUGCAGCGACGCCGCGUGAGCGAUGAAGUAUUUCGGUAUGUAAAGCUCUAUCAGCAGGGAAGAAGAUGACGGUACCUGACUAAGAAGCCCCGGCUAACUACGUGCCAGCAGCCGCGGUAAUACGUAGGGGGCAAGCGUUAUCCGGAUUUACUGGGUGUAAAGGGAGCGUAGACGGCGAUGCAAGCCAGAUGUGAAAGCCCGGGGCCCAACCCCGGGACUGCUCUGGGAACUGUGCGGCUGGAGUGCGGGAGGGGCAGGCGGAAUUCCUGGUGUAGCGGUGAAAUGCGUAGAUAUCAGGGGGAACACCGGCGGCGAAGGCGGCCUGCUGGACCGCGACUGACGUUGAGGCUCGAAAGCGUGGGGAGCAAACAGGAUUAGAUACCCGGGUA
rnacentral:rRNA from 1 species